GCUCCGGUAGCCAAGUGGUUAAAACGUCCACCUCGGAUGUGGGAGGUCAUGGGUUCGAUCCUCGGUCGAGUCA